rnacentral:tRNA from 1 species
GGGGAUAUAGCUCAGUUGGUAGAGUACUAGCCUAGCCUUCAUAAGGCCCUGGGUUCAAUCCCCAGCACCACCA